ACUGGGGAUGGGGGGACGAUUUGGUAUUUGGUUUUGGCAGAAUCUUAACCAGUGGAUUCAGUAUUCGGCCAAACCCCCAAAAAUCUGGAUUCGGUGCAUCCCUAAAAUGAACAUAUUAA